GACAGAGGAUGCAAGCGUUAUCCGGAAUGAUUGGGCGUAAAGUGUCUGUAGGUGGCUUUUAAGUCCGCCGUCAAAUCCCAGGGCUCAACCCUGGACAGGCGGUGGAAACUACCAAGCUGGAGUACGGUAGGGGCAGAGGGAAUUUCCGGUGGAGCGGUGAAAUGCGUAGAUAUGCGGAGGAACACCGAUGGCGAAGGCAAUCCCCUGGACCUGUACUGACGCUCAUGCACGAAAGCGUGGGGAGCAAACAGG
rnacentral:rRNA from 1 species